rnacentral:rRNA from 1 species
UGGGGAAUAUUGCGCAAUGGGGGAAACCCUGACGCAGCGACGCCGCGUGCGGGAUGAAGGCCUUCGGGUUGUAAUCCGCUUUUGAUUGGGAGCAAGCCUUUUGGGUGAGUGUACCUUUCGAAUAAGCGCCGGCUAACUACGUGCCAGCAGCCGCGGUAAUACGUAGGGCGCAAGCGUUAUUCGGAAUUAUUGGGCGUAAAGAGCUUGUAGGCGGUUCGUCGCGUCUGGUGUGAGAGCCCAUCGCUUAACGGUGGGUUUGCGGCGGGUACGGGCGGGCUAGAAGGCAGUAGGGGAGACUGGAAUUCCCGGUGUAACGGUGGAAUGUGUAGAUAUCGGGAGGAACACCAAUGGCGAAGGCAGGUCGCUGGGGUGUUACUGACGCUUAGAAGCGAAAGAGUGGGGAGCGAACAGG